rnacentral:rRNA from 1 species
GAGCGCAGACGGUUACUUAAGCAGGAUGUGAAAUCCCCGGGCUCAACCUGGGAACUGCGUUCUGAACUGGGUGACUAGAGUGUGUCAGAGGGAGGUAGAAUUCCACGUGUAGCAGUGAAAUGCGUAGAGAUGUGGAGGAAUACCGAUGGCGAAGGCAGCCUCCUGGGAUAACACUGACGUUCAUGCUCGAAAGCGUGGGUAGCAAACAGGAUUAGAUACCCUGGUAGUCCACGCCCUAAACGAUGUCAAUUAGCUGUUGGGCAACUUGAUUGCUUAGUAGCGUAGCUAACGCGUGAAAUUGACCGCCUGGGGAGUACGGUCGCAAGAUUAAAACUCAAAGGAAUUGACGGGGACCCGCACAAGCGGUGGAUGAUGUGGAUUAAUUCGAUGCAACGCGAAGAACCUUACCUGGUCUUGACAUGUACGGAAUCCUCCAGAGAGGGAGGAGUGCCUUCGGGAGCCGUAACACAGGUGCUGCAUGGCUGUCGUCAGCUCGUGUCGUGAG